ACUAAGCAUUAAAUAACAUAACCUGUCAUAAAUCCAGGAUUUAUUUGGCCCACUUAAUUUGGAAUGACAGUUCUCACUGUUUAGAGUAGAACUGGUCAUUUUGUCAUUCCUCUCUAGGAAGGAUGUAGUAGAUACACCAGGGAAAUAUUCUCCAGAUUUUUCAAACUGCAUACUAAACACACUGUCUUUGCAUUUGUAGAGAAGAUAUUUUAAUUUAAAAGUAGAUUCCUCAACCUUUUUUUGUUUUUUAUAACUCCCCAUUUUUUCUUAAUGAAGGCAUUUUUUUCAGCACCCUUGAUUGUGAAAUUGAAGUGGUGCUGUUCUGUUACUAUGGAUAACGUUCCUUUGUCUAUUUCCACUGGUUUUAUUGAUUUAAGGGAUCAGUUCCUUUCAUUGAUCUACUUAAGAGAUCACAUCCUUGAAAAAGUUCUGUGUUUCAGGAGUGGUGAUGCUGACUUACCUGCACUCUGCAUUCAGGAAAAUGCUGACCAAAGAAAUACAGACUUGCAUUUGGAUUUGACUCUUCCCACUCAGCAGAAUGGGACAAUCCUCCAGGAGGAAGCAGCAGGGGAAGAAAUCUCACUAAAUUAUGACUGAGCUCAAUAAGUUUGCAAGUGGCAUUAAAUGACAAGUCAAUUUCA